CUGCAGCUCUGGCGCCCUGAGGACAGGCUGGUGGCUUGUAUUUUCUGUAGGGGCCCCAAGGUUUUAAUAAAGUGGAAUAUGCACAUGCCUCCUAGAGAGGAACUGCACCCUUGUUCUCAUCCACGGGACAGCGGCAUGGGGCAGGUGGGACGUGUGUACAGCCAUGUGCUCCCUCCCUAGCUCACCUCCCUCCUCCAGACCCUGCAGGAGCCCUUUUCUGCACUUGGAGCAAAAUCCAAACUCCUGCCUGGCCUACAGAUCCUGACUGAUGAGCCCCCUUUUUCUUUCUUCCCUGCUCCAGUGCCUGUCACUUCCCAGCCACAGUGGCCUUCGGGCAGGUCCUCAGACUUGCCACGUUCUUUCUUGCCCUCAGGACCUGAAUCAGGCUCUUCCUUCUGCUUGGAAUCCCCUCCCUGCCUCCCUGAAUCACCUUUCCGUUUUUACCUUAACUUUCCUGUCUGGCCACUCCUUCCUCAUAGAAUUCUGCCCACCCUUUCUUUCCCUUCCCAGCAUGCCUCCCAGUUUGAGACGAUUUUACUGCCCUUGUUUAGUAUCUGUCUCCCUGACUGGCCUGAGGCUCUGUGAGAGGGACCCCUAGGUCCCCAAUGGCUCGGGCCACGUGUGGCUCUGAGCAGGUGCUCGGGAAUAGUUGGUGAUCCAAUGUCCCUGGGAGGCACUGGCACUGCCCAGAGCAGGCGCAGCAGGAGGACUUGGAGCCGCCCAGGCCACAAGGAGCCACCCUUCUUGGAGCAGGUGGGUGUGAGCUUAUUAGUGGAGGGGCUGGACCCAGACACCAGCAUGCUCAUGACCGUGAGCAUGCACACAGGUCUCUCCCACACUCCCUUCCUUGAUUUUAGGAACAGCCUGGGGCAGAAAGGACUGUGGACCACCAUGAGGAAAGAGCCUGGAUUUAGGCUGCCUGUGGGCACCCCCUGUGGGAACUCGGGCCCGCCCAGGGCCUGUCCGUUGGUCAGCACCACCUCCCCCUCAAGGUGCAGCGCAGCUGCGAAUAGUCAGCGCUUACCUCGCAUCUGCUGGGCACUCACAACACCUGGUCCUCCCGGCAUGAGCGCCCAGUCAGCCUCCAUCUAAUGCUUUCCUUUUUCCUUCGAGUUUCUUGGGCAGUUUGGAGUCUUCGUUCCAGGAAGUAAUCGAUGAGGCCCAGCAUUUGUAAUUCUCAACACAAAAACACCCAGACUGCAGGUGAGGAAAAUGUCCAGAGGGGUCAAGUCGCUUGCCUGAGGUAACUCACAGAGCCGCGUGUUUCACAGUGAAGCCCCUCCGACCCCAGCUGGAGUUCUUCUGGCUGUGCUGUGCACAACAGAGAAAUCAGUGACUACUGCAGACCUACUGCGUGUGAGAGUCAGAAAUGACAGGCUCACCCCUGCUCCCAUCCUGGCGGUCACCUCCCGACUGGAGUCUUCAUCUCACUUGGUCCCCAGGCCAACCUGGGGUGCAGGAUGGUUGCUGCUGUUCCGGGUGCCAGACCCAUCUUCACGCAGGAAGCAAGGGAGAAGGGGCAGCAGUGGCCGUUGCUUCCCUUUAUCAGGAAAAGAGCCUCCCCAGAGGCCCACCUAGCAGACUUCCCUUACGACCCAGUGGUCCAGACGGAGUCACCCAGUCCCCUCCAGCUGCGAGGAAGACUUUCAGGCCCUGGGCUGGGCUGGACACCGGAGGGAAAUCCAGAGGUGGUAGGCUCACUCCUGCUCCCACAGGACUCACCGCUUAGGGGAGGUUGUAAAAGCUGAAGGUCCUCAGGCCUCCCGCCCCAGGAGGAGACCAGGCUUUGUCUUGUAGAAUCCAGAAGGCCCGUGGGAGAGGAUGUCUAAGCUGGGCUCUAAAGUGAAAGAGUGUUAAAUCUGUGACUAUUAAAGGCCGCUAAUUGUUCAGUUUGUGAUUACAUUCUUCCUCUAAGAUGGCUGGUCCUGAAUAUCCCCCUGUUGUUAGCUUAGGACUCUCUGUUACCU